rnacentral:lncRNA from 1 species
AGAACAUGUUUAACUUGAACUUAUUUAAAAGGAUAUAAAUUACCAGUGCAUCAUUGUGAGGCUGAGAUAAGGCCACAAUGUCUUCCUUGUUGAAUAUGAGGGAGUCCUCGAGAAUGUAAUCCCGAGUCUGUUUCUCCCUCGUGAUGGAUACUUUGGUACGCUUGAAUAUAGGCCCAUGUGGUACGUCGACUCCACCGAUGAUCAUGUGAAUGACAUGUUGAGGUUCUUCAGGUUCAUUCUUCCUAUCUGCAUCUCUCUUACUGAAGUGAUUCUUAGCUCGAUCACUUAUGAAUUCUCGAAGGUCGCCCUCACUGAAUAACCUAGCCACUUCUUUGCGUAACUACCUACAAUCUUUGGUCAUGUGCCCAUGGGUCCAUGAUAUUUGCGCAUCAAGUUGGGGUUCCUCUAAGAAGGAAUGGUCUGUAUAGGCUUGGGCCAUCUAGUAUCUCUAAUUUUGCCAAUGGCUGAGACAAUCCUUGAGGUAUCGACGGUGAAGUUGUUCUCUGUUAAUCUGGGCGCCUAUAUCGGUCCCAAGUGCCUAUAAAACCCAAUUUUACUCAUGAGUCCCCGUGAACUUUGACCUCGAUCUGUUCUUCGAUCAUUCCAAGGUAUGUUAUGCUUUGACAUAUGACUUCGAUCCUCGGUGCAUGGAUAGUAUCUUUCCUUAUUUGAUCUUAACCCCAUGUCUGCAUUUCUUGACUC